GGCGUUUUUAUUUUUUUAGCGGGAAAUAUUACGGAUGUGGAUCCAAUUUGUACUUGAGUGCAAAGAUGCAAACGUGCUUAAAUGGACAGUCCAUCAAAGGCAUUUAAAGUUCUACCUUGGCAUCAUAGUGUUUCUUUGAGUUCCCUCUAAGGUCUCAAGUGGUUUGAAUUCUAAAUCUAUUGCAACUUCUGGCAUUUUUAAAAUGUUUUUAGGGGGAAAUAUUACAUAUGUGGAUCCACUUUGUAACAGACAGUAAAGACACAAACUAGCAGUAGUUUUUAUGGUCUGCGAAAAUAUAAAAAAUAAGAUUUUGAGUAAUUUUGGUCUCCAGGAAAUUGUUUUAAAAGAAAAAUGUUAAUCAAGUUAACAUAGUGUCACAAGUGGCUUGAUUUCUAGGUCUGUUGUAUCUACUAGCGAUUUGUGGGUUGUUUAUAGGCAGAUAUAUUACAGAUGUGGAUCCACUUAAUUGUGUAUAAAGACGAAAAGGUGCUUAAAUGGACAGUCCAUCAAAGGCAUUUAAAGUUCUACCUUGGCAUCAUAGUGUUUCUUUGAGUGCCCUCUAGCGUCUCAAUUGGCUUGAAUUCUAUACCUGUUUUAGGUACUUGUGUUUUUAUUUUUUUAGCAGGAAAUAUUACGGAUGUGGAUCCAAUUUGUAAUUGUGUAUAAACAUGCAAAUGUGCCUAAAUGGGCAAAGUCCAUCAAAUGCAUUUAAAGUUCUACCUUGGCAUCAUAGUGUUUCUUUGAGUGCCCUCUAGGGUCUCAAUUGGCUUGAAUUCUAUCCCUGUUUUAGGUACUGGCAUUUUUAUUUUUUUAGCGGGAAAUAUUACGGAUGUGGAUCCACUUUGUAACUGAGUGCAAAGAUGCAAACGUGCUUAAAUGGACAGUCCAUCAAAGGCAUUUAAAGUUCAAAAUCUGUUGCAACUUCUGGCAUUUUUUAAAAAUAUUUUUAAGGGGAAAUAUUACAUUUGUGGAUCUACUUUGUAACAGACAGUAAAGACACAAUCUUGCAGUGUUUAUUGUGAUGUGUGAAGUGAUAUGAGUAAAAAUUUUGAGUAGUUUUCCUCUCCAAGAUAUUGUAUUAUUAUAAAAAUUUAAAUCAAGUUAACAUAGCUAGGAUCAGAAGUGUCUUUAUUUCUAGGUGUAUUGUAUCUACUGGCGAAUUGUGGAUUGUUUUUAGGCGGAAAUAUUACAGAUGUGGAUCCACUUUGUAAUUGUGUAUAAAGAUGCAAAUGUGCCUAAAUGGACAGUCCAUCAAAGGCAUUUAAAGUUCUACCUUGGCAUCAUAGUGUUUCUUUGAGUUCCCUCUAAGGUCUCAAGUGGUUUGAAUUCUAAAUCUGUUGCAACUUCUGGCAUUUUUUAAAUGUUUUUAGCGGAAAAAAUAUUACAUAUGUGGAUCCACUUUGUAAAAGACAGUAAAGACACAAACUAGCAGUAGUUUUUAUGGUCUGAAAAACAAUAAAAAAUUAGAUUUUGAGUAAUUUUGGUCUCCAAGAAAUUGUUUUAAAACAAAAAUGUUAAUCAAGUUAACAUAGUGUCACAAGAGGCUUGAUUUCUAGGUCUGUUGUAUCUACUAGCGAUUUGUGGGUUGUUUUUAGCUGGAAAUAUUACAGAUGUCGAUCCACUUUGUAAUUGUGUAUAAAGACGCAAACGUGCUUAAAUGGACAAAGUCCAUCAAAGGCAUUUAAAGUUCUACCUUGGCAUCAUAGUGUUUGUUUGAGUUCCCUAUAAGGUCUCAAGUGGUUUCAAUUCUAAAUAUAUUGCAACUUCUGGCAUUUUUUAAAUGUUUUUAGGGGGAAAUAUUACAUAUUUGGAUCCACUUUGUAACAGACAGUAAAGACACAAACUAGCAGUAGUUUUUACGGUCUGCGAAACAAUAAAAAAUAAGAUUUUGAGUAAUUUUGGUCUCCAAGAAAUUGUUUUAAAAGAAAAAUCUUAAUCAAGUUAACAUAGUAUCACAAGUGGCUUGAUUUCUAGGUCUGUUGUAUCUACUAGCGAUUUGUGGGUUGUUUUUAGGCGGAAAUAUUACAGAUGAGGAUCCACUUUGUAAUUGUGUAUAAAGACGCAAACGUGCCUAAAUGGACAAAGUCCAUCAAAGGCAUUUAAAGUUCUACCUUGGCAUCAUAGUGUUUCUUUGAGUGCCCUCUAGGGUCUCAAUUGGCUUGAAUUCUAUCCCUGUUUUAGGUACUGGCAUUUUUAUUUUUUUAGCGGGAAAUAUUACGGAUGUGGAUCCACUUUGUAACUGAGUGCAAAGAUGCAAACGUGCUUAAAUGGACAGUCCAUCAAAGGCAUUUAAAUUUCUACCUUGGCAUCAUAGUGUUUCUUUGAGUUCCCUCUAAGGUCUCAAGUGGUUUGAAUUCUAAAUCUGUUGCAAGUUCUUGCAUUUUUUUAAAAUAUUUUUAGGGGGAAUUUUUACAUUUGUGGAUCCACUUUGUAACAGACAGUAAAGACACAAUCUUGCAGUGUUUAUUGUGAUGUGUGAAGUGAUAUGAGUAAACAUUUUGAGUAGUUUUCCUCUCCAAGAUAUUGUAUUAGUAUAAACAUUUAAAU
rnacentral:lncRNA from 1 species